CCCUUAGAUGUUCUGGGCCGCACGCGUGCUACACUGAGUAAAUCAAUGGGUAAGGGAACACGAAAGUGCGACCUAAUCUUGAAAUUUGCUCGUGAUGGGGAUCGACGGUUGCAAUUUUCCGUCGUGAACGAGGAAUACCUUGUAGGCGCGUGUCAUCAUCACGCGCCGAAUACGUCCCUGCCCUUUGUACACACCGCCCGUCGCUCCUACCGAUUGAGUGAUCCGGUGAGGCUCUGGGACCUGGACGGAAAGAGCGUUUCGCUUGUUCUGUUUGGGAAACUUGGUCGAACCUUAUCAUUUAGAGGAAGGAGAAGUCGUAACA
rnacentral:rRNA from 1 species